rnacentral:misc_RNA from 1 species
AAUUUGCGUUAGGGAUAGAAGUGACAUCUCCCGAUUUAGAAAAACAAGGCUUUUUUAGCCGUAGUUUUUAUUAAUUGGGAAAUAACGGAUAGCCCGACCGCCU